rnacentral:snRNA from 1 species
UGUGAGGGCGAUUUGCCUGUGACAUCUGUCACACCAUUGAUCGCCAGGGUUGAUCCAGAUCUGGCUGGCUGGGCAGUGUCCCAUUCCUCCCUCAUUGCAUAGUGUGCGUCCCUCCCGAAGCUGCCUGCUGGGUCAAACAGCAUGACCUUCCCCUAACCCUGACCCUAACCUUCUCCUAAUAGAAGAGGGCCGGGACGGUCUUUGGUCAAGGGAAUUCGAGUAGCUGUACUCCCUACUAGAACCUCCAAACAAACUCCCAAGAAUAAUAAUCACAGGCCAGGUGUGGUGGUGCACGCAUUUAAUCCCAGCAU